rnacentral:rRNA from 1 species
CGAGAAAGCCCGCAAGGGUGAGUAAAGCGGCGCACGGGUGCGUAACACGUGGGUAAUCUGCCCUGGAGUCCGGAAUAACUCGCCGAAAGGCGUGCUAAUGCCGGAUGAGACCACGGGAGCCUCGGCUCCUGCGGAAAAAGGUGGCCUCUGUACACAAGCUAUCACUCCAGGAUGAGCCCGCGGCCCAUCAGCUAGUUGGCGGGGUAAAGGCCUACCAAGGCAACGACGGGUAGCUGGUCUGAGAGGACGAUCAGCCACACUGGAACUGAGACACGGUCCAGACUCCUACGGGAGGCAGCAGUGGGGAAUCUUGCGCAAUGGGCGAAAGCCUGACGCAGCAACGCCGCGUGUGUGAUGAAGGUCUUCGGAUCGUAAAGCACUGUCGCGAGGGACG